rnacentral:rRNA from 1 species
CGCAUGAGAUAGCCGACAAAGAUUUAUCGGUAUGGGAUGGGCCCGCGUUUGAUUAGCUAGUUGGUGAGGUAACGGCUCACCAAGGCGACGAUCAAUAGCCGACCUGAGAGGGUGAUCGGCCACACUGGAACUGAGACACGGUCCAGACUCCUACGGGAGGCAGCAGUGGGGAAUAUUGGGCAAUGGGCGCAAGCCUGACCCAGCAACGCCGCGUGAGGGAAGAAGGUUUUCGGAUUGUAAACCUCUGUCCUUGGGGACGAAAAAAAUGACGGUACCCGAGGAGGAAGCUCCGGCUAACUACGUGCCAGCAGCCGCGGUAAUACGUAGGGAGCAAGCGUUGUCCGGAAUUACUGGGCGUAAAGGGUGCGUAGGCGGUUUGGAAAGUCAGAUGUGAAAUCCCCGGGCUUAACUCGGGUGGUGCAUUUGAAACUUCCAGACUUGAGUGCAGGAGAGGAAAGCGGAAUUCCUAGUGUAGCGGUGAAAUGCGUAGAUAUUAGGAGGAAUACCAGUGGCGAAGGCGACUUUCUGGACUUAUACUGACGCUGAGGAACGAAAGCGUGGGGAGCAAACAGGAUUAGAUACCCUGGUAGUCCACGCCGUAAACGAUGAGUGCUAGGUGUUGGGGGUCAAACCUCGGUGCCGCAGCUAACGC